UCAGGAGUAGCUCAAUUGGUAGAGCACCAGAAUUUGGCUCUGGUGGUUGAAGGUUCAAUUCCUUCCUCCUGAUCCA
rnacentral:tRNA from 1 species